rnacentral:snoRNA from 1 species
CUACAUGAUGAGGUAAUUUGCGAUUGAUUCUUCUCGAUGGCAUCUCUUUCGCCGGAGAAGCUAUAUCGAGAGGAUAGGUGAUAUUCAAUUUCUUACAUAUUCUGACA